AGGUAACAUUCUGGGUAUGUUGUCCAUCACUAGCAGCACCAUAUCACCAGGUAACAUUCUGGGUAUGUUGUCUAUCAGCACCAUAUCACCAGGUAACAUUCUGGGUGUGUUGUCUAUCAGCACCAUAUCACCAGGUAACAUUCUGAGUAUGUUGUUUAUCACUAGCAGCACCAUAUCAUCAGGUAACAUUCUGAGUAUGUUGUCUAUCACUAUCAGCACCAUAUCACCAGGUAACAUUCUGAGUAUGUUGUCUAUCACUAGCAGCACCAUAUCACCAGGUAACAUUCUGAGUAUGUUGUCUAUCACUAGCAGCACCAUAUCACCAGGUAACAUUCGGAGUAUGUUGUCAAUCAGCACCAUAUCACCAGGUAACAUUCUGGGUGUGUUGUCUAUCAGCACCAUAUCACCAGGUAACAUUCUGAGUAUGUUGUUUAUCACUAGCAGCACCAUAUCAUCAGGUAACAUUCUGAGUAUGUUGUCUAUCACUAUCAGCACCAUAUCACCAGGUAACAUUCUGAGUAUGUUGUCUAUCACUAGCAGCACCAUAUCACCAGGU
rnacentral:lncRNA from 1 species